UAUGACUCCAGCUGACCACACUCUUCUCAUUUUCCUGGGUUUCCUCGUGUUACGUUUCUUUUGUAAGAGUCUGCCCCUCCUCGCCCCUCGACGCCGGCAGAGGAGGCGGAGCGGCGGCGGGUGGAACCGCGCAGGUCCCGGGGGCGGUGCCGCCAGUUCCUCCCUGCGCCCCCGGAGCGGCGGAGCACCGGAGCGACGGCGGCUUCUCGGAGGGAGCCAUGGCAAGGCGAGUCCCCUCUGAUCUCUCUCUCCGAGUCUCACCUGCUCAGCACCGGGAAGAAGAGGACUCCCUUCUUACCUGGCAGGACGUGGAUGUGCUGGUGCCCAUCCAUGUGAGGAGGACAUACUCCUGCUUCCAAGUGCCUGCCCACACUGGAGCUGAAGCAUUAGUUGGGUUUUACCUUCUAAAUGGAAGUAAUACUUCCUAAUAAAGGAUUUUCUGGGCUAGUCCCUAAGAAUGA